UACAGGGAGACCAACUUCAUCGAGACCGAACUCAUUGUUAUUAAGUCCGAUAGAAGUCCAUCCCAGGUUGAGCGAGUUUGGAAAUGGCGGCUUUCAAACUAUAUUCGGUUCGAUUUGUGGUGAUCGCAGAAUCCGUCAAGUCUGGUUCGGUUCUGCACCCUCGGCAAACCUACGGGUUUGUUAGAGUAGUAGAGCGUGAUCACAGAGCAUUGCUCCUCACGCAAUAAACUGAAAGCUUUAAAUUGAAAUUGGAUAAUUUUUUCAGCAUUAGGCAGAUUAAAAGCCUAAAUGCUGGAUAGCAUCCAGUCAGGACCUUGAAAACUGCAUAGUAAUUUGUCAAAUGUAAUGAGAGUGCAUGAGUCUAUCAGUUGAAGAACUGGUAGUUGAAUGCAUCAAUUGCAGGUAGACACCAAUGUUUAAUUGU
rnacentral:misc_RNA from 1 species